rnacentral:tRNA from 1 species
GCCGAGAUGGCGGAAUUGGUAGACGCGCCGGACUCAAAAUCCGGUGGGGUAGCCCCCGUGUGGGUUCGAGUCCCACUCUCGGUACCA